GGGAGUCUCAGGUCACGUCUGUUACCUGAUUUUCACUUGUGACAAAAUGACAAAGGAGUGACAUUCAGUGAUAACAAUCGAGAAACUGAUUUCAUUCUAUUUUGGGGGGUAGUUUAUUUCCUUGUCUUCUUCCUAUUUUUAAAUGCUUGCAGGUAGCAAUAUGAAGCAGAAUCAGCACAAUCUCUCAGUGUCACAACUGGAAAAUGGGUUGACCAUUGUAACAGCCACCAUAAUUACCUACAGGCUACUUUCAGGGCCCGCUGUGUGAUGGACCGGACCUGGAAGCUCAGCUGUUGUCAGCAGCGUGGUAGGACCUGCUUGCACAUAUGCAACCACUGUGCUAGGCUUCCAGGCUGAAAGAAACUGAAACAAGGGUUUGGUGUUUUGAGUUGAGGCACACCGUGAAUAAAUACCUAACGCUGAUGUUAGUAUUAUGCCAAAGUCAGGAAUCUGUUUGGAUAAUUGAACAUGAUAUUCAUUCUCUUACUGCUGAGUGAAGGAAGGUGGAAAAGUGCAUUUUUUGCUUAACUGGGCCUAUCACUUUGAAAUUUAGCCCCCAUCAUCUGUUACACUGAGAGGGGAAUGCUGGCAUUUUACGAAACAUAUUCCCCCAAAAUAAAGGAAAUGUAGUUUGUAAUGUUCAGAAGCCAGAGCGUUCGACUAGUCCCCUCAUUUGUUUUUCAGGUUGUGCCUAAAUUGGCUUGCAGAUUUAUCUGCCACGCAUUGCACAUGGAUAUUUUUGUCACCGCAUAUUUCACAACAGCUGUGAUCCUGAUGGGGAUUCAGUUAACCAAAGGCCCCUCUGCAUGCAAGCGGUCACCAGGCAUCUAAUGGGCUGAGGGCUGAAACGACAAUAAAGACUCAGGCUGAUGCCAGUCUGGUCGAGCAACUGCCAACAAAUCAGUCUUGAAAGAGAUUAUUUAUUGCAUCAAUGCUGCUAUUCACCACACAUGUAAGAUUGCUAAUGUCAAGAGUAACUUAUUCCUGUGUCUCUCCUGAUCUAGAAGCUGUCAAUGAAGAUGACGUUCCUCAUCUUACCCCUACGUUAAUCAUGUGGAUUAAUCAUCUGCACUCGGUGAGCUGGCACAACAGGUGGAAGGGGACACAGCAGAGGACACUCACAGGGGAGCCGCCCAGGGGAAGACCGCGCAGUGGCUGUUCUCCCGGUGGGAGCGCCGCGGAUCACAGACACAGUGAAGCACCAGACCUGGAGGCCUCUCCUCCAACACCUAGGAAGCAGACCCCACCCCUGACAGGCGCGCUGACACCCGCAGAGCAGAGGGAGGCCCUGUUGGAUACCCAGGCAGGCUCUGGUCACCACCACGCCAAUCCCACUCCCUGCUGCAAAGUCCUGUCGGUCGUGUCCGACUCUGUGCGACCCCAUAGACGGCAGCCCACCAGGCUCCCCCGUCCCUGGGACUCUCCAGGCAAGAACACUGGAGUGGGUUGCCAUUGCCUUCUCUGAAUGAGACUCCCUGGCAAGGGGAUGAUCGCUCAAGUCUCUGGACCAACCUCGCCCACUGGGGAGCAGACACCAGAAAUUUUUUUUCACUAAGAAGUUGAGCGCUAUCUCAUAACAAAGACAGCUUGAGAAUGUGUGUUAACAAAGUCAAACACUGGAAAUGAAUUUCACAGUCCUCCGCACUGCUCAUUCUCACCUCAUGAAUCCACAAGUGUCUAUGAAUUUGAAGGAUUGCUGCUGGUGGAUGAUCUCACCUUCCACACUUCCAUAGUCUCUGGUUACGCUUUUUCUCCUGAAGAAGAUGGAUGUUUAUGUCAUGCCAGCCCCAGUACCUAACCUACAUCUUAAUGGGAAGGGCAGUGCAGCAAAUACUCUUCUUUCUCUUACUUGGUUCAUUUUAAAUUUAUAGACUUUAAAACUAUUUAUCAACUAACUUCCUUCCUCCUUUCCUUCCUUCCUCUUUUUUCCAAAAUAAUCUUAAAUUUUCUCCUGAGGGGAAUACCAGUUUUCUCCUCACUGUUCAUGUAGUACGUGCUCCCUACAAAUUCUUUUUCACCGUAAACAUAGAGGCUGCAGAUGCCAUUUUUUUAAAAUUCAAAACAACUAAUAGUGGUAAACUCUGUAAUUUCUUUCAAAAUAUAUUCUGCAAAAUAAGUGCUUGACAUUAUAUUGGAACUAAAAUGCUCAAAUUAAGAGAAGGAAGGAAAUGAGUAUUUAUUCGAGGAUCUACUAUGUGCCAGAAGUUUUCUGUACAUGAAUUCUUUUAAUCCUCAUCACAGCACUGGGUGAGAGCUGUUAUUCUUUCCAAUUUGUGUUUCAGCAACUGAAAUUGAGACACUCGGUAGCUCACGCAGCAUGCCAUAGCUACCAAAUGACUUUCCCACUUUCUUAUAUACCAUUUUGCAAGUGAGACCCAUGAGGUGCAGAGAGACCAGGGGGCUUAAACUGGUGUCUGAGUUUGAAUUGGAUAAUAGGUCCUCUGACUCAGUUCAUCCCACUAAGCCACUGGGAAUACAAAGAUGAGGGGGGAAAACUCAUGAAAUUGACCCUAAAAUUAAAAUUCACAUGAAAAUGUCUAUAAGAAAAUUUACCGUGUUCAGUUUUUUUGAGGCAUGGAAUCUGUUAAUAUAUUUCCUGUCUGUUACUGAGAAGAAAAUCUCAUGUGAUUCCUCCUCAUGUUUCUUUUCCGUUAGUGCCAUGACUGUUAUUUUUAAGGAAUUUUGUAUCUGGAUGCUGGCAACACAACUUUCUCGUCUCCAUGGCACUGGGGCAUAGGUCAGAUUGUGCUGGGCCAAACUCCAAAUAUAUAGCAUGAAUUUUCUAUUUUACAGCUAUUAAGGCAAACUGACCUCAGAAAUUUGUGCAACCGUUCAAAGAAUGAGCCUUAUCUUACUCUUAUUGCUCUCUCUACCUUUUUCCUCCAACAUCAGACCUGGAACACAGAAGCUACUCCUAGUACAGUGAUUAUUUUUGCACAUGUUGCUCUCUUUUCCUCCUACCAGAGUUUCCCUUAGAACAAGAACUCCACAGUUGCUAAACAGACAGAGGUUGUGCAUGGCUGUUACUAUAUUUACAGAUGAGACAAGAUUUGGUAGGUGAGAGGUUGGGAGAAAGGAUUGAAAAGAAAGGUUCAAGGUUAAGAGUUCUUAUACCCAUUGCUCUGAAGAGUUGCUAAAAAAACAAAAACCACAUAACAAAAUCUGAGCAUGUUUCUCAGCCCCUGGAAACCUGCCCUAGAGGUGUGCAGCAAGUGGUCUCCACAUUCUCCAUACCAGGCCAGCUUGCCUACUCGCUGUUCCUCAAAUAUACCUCAUCCUGUCUCUUCUCUCAGCUUCUUAGUAAAAAGGUUCCCUCUGAUAUAACUGUCUUCUCUUCCUCCACUUCUACUAAUCACAUUUCUACACAUCCCUCGACACUGGGUGUAAAUGCUGCCCACUCCAUGCAGGCCUCUCAUGAACUGAGGGUCAGGAAUCCCUUUUGUCCGUGACUGUAGCAGCCGGAACACAGAUCUUCUGUAGCACUUACCACUUACUACUAAAUUUGGAAUGCUUUUAUGUCAUUGUAUCUUCUUUAUAAGGUUAAUAAUUAUUUCUAUAUAUCCAAAAGUAUAAUCCUCAUUCCAUUUUAUUGUUUUUUCACUUGACUUCUAGGACCUCAUGCUGUCUCAGUUUUCCUCCUCGCUCACUGGCCAUUUCUUCUUGGUGUCUCGUUCCCUCCCUCUCUUUGGGUUCUGGCUUAUCAGUCUGGACUCUUCACUAUUUAGUAAAGCUUCGUUUUGGCACUUGAUCAAUACCCACUCACUCCCAAGAUGAUCUUACAGAAUUUUACACCUUUAAAUAUCAUCUCAGUGCUGACGACUCUCAAAUACAUGUAUCCAGCCUGGACCCUGACCUCAGCUCCAGAUGGUUCUCCCCACCUGUGUGCUGAGUCAUCUUCACCUUGCCUCCUCACUUGGCAUCUCCCGUGACAUGUGUCCAAAACAGAACUCCCAACCCCUGCCCCACUGCCAUCCCUCAAAACUUGCUUUACCUCCUACCUUCUCUUCUGUAGUAAAUGGCAACUGACAUUUUAGAAUCACUGAUUCAUCUCUUUCUCUUAAUUUAUGCAUACAGUCUUUUAGCAAAUCCUGCAAAUCUCAAAUAUAUAUAUUCAGAAUCUGCUUCUAGUCAUUUCUUGUCUAUGACCCUGAUCCAAGCCGUAAUUAUCUCUCAUCUGGGAUACUCAGUGCCUUGCUGACUGGUUUCUCUGUCUCUACAUGCACACAUCCUACUGUGUGUGUGUGUGUGUAUACAACAGGGCAACUAUACUGAUUUAGGAAUAAUUAGAAGGUAUUGCAAAGCAAAAGAAACCAUAAACAAGAUGAAAAGACAACCCUCAGAAUGGGAGAAAAUAUUUGCUGACAAAGGAUUGAUCUUCAAAAUAUACAAAUAGCUCAUGCAAGUCAAUAUCAAAAAAACAACUCAAUCAAAAAAAUGGGCAGGAGACUUAUAUAGGCAUUUCUCCAAAGAAGGCAUACAAGAUGGCCAACAACAAAUGAAAAGAUGCUUAACAUCACUAUUAGAGAAAUAUGAAUCAAAACUAUAAUGAGGUAUCACCUCACAGUGGUCAGAAUGGCCAUCAUCAAAAACAUCUACAAACAAUAAAUGCUGGGAAAGGAAAUAAAUCCUACAAUGUUGAUUGGAAUGCAAACUGGUAUAGCUACUAUGAAGAAACAGUAUGGAGGGUCCUCAAAAAACUAAAACUAGAACUACCAUAUGACUCCACUAUCCCACUACUGGGCAUAGACCUGGAGAAAACCAUAAUUCAAAAAAUGCAUGCACCCCAAUGUUCACUGAAGCACUGUAUACAAUAGCCAGGACAUGGAAGCAACCUAAAUGUCCAUCAACACAGGAAUGGAUAAAGAAGAUGUAUUACAUAUAUAAUAGAGUAUCACUCAGCCGCUUUGUCCCAAUAGGAACAAAAUUGGGUGGACCUAGAGACAUGGAUGGACCUACAGAGUGUUAUACAGAGUGAAGCAAAUAAGUCAGUCAGAAAGAGAAAAACAAAUAUGUAUAUUAAUGCAUAUACAUGGAAUCUAGAAAAAUGGUACAGAUGAUCCUACUUGCAAAGCAGAAAGAGA